rnacentral:lncRNA from 1 species
GACACACAACCAGAAGCAAAGACAGCAGCUGACCUGUAGCUGAUGACGGAGUUUCGCUCUUGUUGCCCAAGCUGGACUGCAGUGGCGCGAGCCUGGCUCACUGCAAACUCUGCCUUCCGGUUUCAAGCGAUUCUCCUGCCUCAGCCUCCGGAGUAGCUGGGACUACAGGCACACACCACGCCCAGAGAAAAACAGAUCUUCAACAGUUUUUUGAUGGAAAUAAACAAUUUCAAGUUGAGACAACACAUCAGCUUCAUGCAUUCCUUCAGCUUGAAGUCAACUGGGCCUGGGUUGAAUCUGGUUCUGUUUUGUUGUUGUUUCAUUUUGUUUUUUAGCAUUUGACUAUGUACAGUCUCUAUUUCUAAGUCUUGAUUUCCUCAUUUAUAAAACAAAGCAACUAAAUGAUAUCAAAUACCCUUGUUUUGAAAAUCAAAGAAUAAGCACGGCACCCAAGACAACUUUUUGUAUCACAGGCACACAUGAAUGCUUUUUUCCUUUUCCUUUUCUUAUCAUAAAAACCUAUAUUUUAUGACUUUUACAUUUAUUCCUAGAUGCUCUCAUAUGCAUUAUCUCAUUUUUACAAUAACAUUAUAAAUAUAAACACUGUUAUGCUAUUUUACAGAUGAGAGACUUGAAGCACAGAAGGCUAAAACUACCUUUAACUUCUAAAGAAAUUUUGUGAGAAGCAUCUGAGACUCUUGACAGUUAAAAUCCCUAUCAUUUCAGAAAGUGCAACUGGGGAUCACAUGUAUUUUAAAUAAUUCUAGUUGAGAAUAGUCAAAAGUCGCAUUUAUGAAGGAAGAUUGACAUUUUUAAGCUUCCCAAUGAUUUCAUCAAGCUUAUUUAGUACUCCUAGCCUCAGUUUCUUCACUUGCAAAAUAAGAAUACCAAAAACAGGAGCUUCGUGGAUUAAUUUU